GAUGAACGCUAGCUACAGGCUUAACACAUGCAAGUCGAGGGGCAGCAUGGUCUUAGCUUGCUAAGGCCGAUGGCGACCGGCGCACGGGUGAGUAACACGUAUCCAACCUGCCGUCUACUCUUGGACAGCCUUCUGAAAGGAAGAUUAAUACAAGAUGGCAUCAUGAGUCCACAUGUUCACAUGAUUAAAGGUAUUCCGGUAGACGAUGGGGAUGCGUUCCAUUAGAUAGUAGGCGGGGUAACGGCCCACCUAGCCGACGAUGGAUAGGGGCUCUGAGAGGAAGGUCCCCCCACAUUGGAACUGAGACACGGUCCAAACUCCUACGGGAGGCAGCAGUGAGGAAUAUUGGUCAAUGGACGAGAGUCUGAACCAGCCAAGUAGCGUGCAGGAUGACGGCCCUAUGGGUUGUAAACUGCUUUUAUAAGGGAAUAAAGUGAGUCUCGUGAGACUUUUUGCAUGUACCUUAUGAAUAA
rnacentral:rRNA from 1 species